UAAAGAUUAAUCCAUGCAUGUGUAAGUAUAAGUAUUGUACAGCGAAACUGCGAAUGGCUCAUUACAUCAGUUAUAAUUUAUUUGAUAAUCGAAAGUUACAUGGAUAACCGUGACAAAUUACAGCUAAUACAUGCAGUCAGACCUGGUCCAAGGGUCGUAAUUAUUAGUAUUAAACCAUUUCCGCAAGGAGUGUGAUGAAUCAUAAUAAUCGAACGAAUCGCCUGGUGUGCGAUAAAUCAUUCAAGUUUCUGCCCUAUCAGCUUUGGAUGGUAGUGUAUUGGACUACCAUGGCAGUCACGGGUAACGGAGAAUUAGGGUUCGAUUCCGGAGAGGGAGCCUGAGAAACGGCUACCACAUCUACGGAAGGCAGCAGGAGCGAAAAUUGCCCAAUCCCGACACGGGGAGGCAGUGACGAGAAAUAACAACUCUUGGUUAUUCUAAGAAGUGUAAUGAGGAUAAUUUAAAAACCUUACCGAAAGCAAUUGGAGGGCAAGUCUGGUGCCAGCAGCCGCGGUAAUUCCAGCUCCAAUAGCGUAUAUUAAAGUUGUUGCAGUUAAAAAGCUCGUAGUUGAAGUUCUGGCUGCUUGACCCUCGAGCUCUGUAGCCGAGGGAUCAGCAGUCAUCCGCUUGCAAACAUAAAUUCGCCUUUAACCGGGCGGCUAUGUGAGUAAGCAUUUUACCUUGAGAAAAACAGAGUGUUCCAGGCAGGUUUGUCCGGAAUGCAUUAGCAUGGAAUAAUAGAAUAUGACUGAAGUCGAUUUAUUGGUUUGAGGCUUUAGUAAUGAUUAAUAGGAACAGUCGGGGGCAUUGGUACUUGACAGUCAGAGGUGAAAUUCUAGGAUUUGUCAAAGACUAACAAAUGCGAAAGCAUUUGCCAAGGAUGUUUUCAUUAAUCAAGAACGAAAGUUAGGGGAUCAAAGACGAUCAGAUACCGUCCUAGUCUUAACUAUAAACUAUACCGACUCGGAUUCAGAUGAAUCAUAAAGUUCAUUUGGGACCGUAGGAGAAAUCAAAGUUUUUGGGUUCUGGGGGAAGUAUGGUCGCAAGGCUGAAACUUAAAGGAAUUGACGGUUUUGCACCACCAUGGAGUGGAGUCUGCGGCUUAAUUUGACAACACUGGGAAACUCAUCAGGGCAAGAAGAUUGUAGGAUUGACAGAUUGAGAGUUCUUUCUUGAUUGGUCUAGUGGUGGUGCAUGGCCGUUCUUAGUUGGUGGAGUGAUUUGUCUGGUUAAUUCCGUUAACGAACGAGACCUUAACCUGCUAACUAGUACGUUGAUGACAAAUCAACGAUACUUCUUAGAGGGACUAUGUGAUGUAAUCACAUGGAAGUUUGAGGCAAUAACAGGUCUGUGAUGCCCUUAGAUGUUCUGGGCCGCACGCGCGCUACACUGACAGAGGCAGCGAGUUCUUUUCCUUGGCCGGAAGGCCUGGGUAAUCUUGUGAAACUCUGUCGUGAUGGGGAUAGAGCAUUGCAAUUAUUGCUCUUCAACGAGGAAUUCCUAGUAAGCGUGAGUCAUCAGCUCGCGUUGAUUAC
rnacentral:rRNA from 1 species